GUAGGGAAUAUUGGACAAUGGGCGAAAGCCUGAUCCAGCAAUACCGCGUGUGUGAAGAAGGCCUGCGGGUUGUAAAGCACUUUUGGUAAGGAAGAAAGGUUCUAUGGAUAAUACCCUUAGAAUUUUGACGUUACUUGCAGAAAAAGCACCGGCUAACUCUGUGCCAGCAGCCGCGGUAAUACAGAGGGUGCUAGCGUUAAUCGGAAUUACUGGGCGUAAAGCGUGCGUAGGUGGCUGUUUAAGUGAGAUGUGAAAUCCCUGAGCUUAACUUGGGAAUUGCACCUUAUACUGGAUAGCUAGAGUAUGGUAAAGGGAAGUGGAAUUCCACAUGUAGCGGUGAAAUGCGUAGAUAUGUGGAGGAACACCAGUGGCGAAGGCGUCUUCCUAGACUAAUACUGACACUGAGGCACGAAAGCGUGGAGAGCAAACAGGAUUAGAAACCCCAGUAGUCC
rnacentral:rRNA from 1 species